GGUUAUCCAACAAGCUAUCACCUUCAGUGUGCUUCUGUAAAUGGAACAGGUACAUUUGAUUUGCUCUACUGUAAUGAGUACCUUUUUUUUUUGUUUUCCCUGCGUUCCCUUUACGAUGUUAGAAACUGUGAGGAUAGCAGUCUUGCUACGUAUACAAAAACCAUGUGUUGCAAUUGUUUUAGGUGUGUUCUCUAAAAAAAAAAAAAGGAUAUUUAAGUGUUUUGUUUCCCUCUGCUAUCUAUCAUUGGUUUUCAUGUUUGUAUGACCAUGUUGUCUUUUGAUACAGGGAUAUUCCUGCUCUGAGCUUUGAGUCUGCUUUGUUAUGAGCGGUAAUUGCCUCUACUUUAUUUGAUGUUCUAUAUAUAUAUAUAUAUAUAUAUAUUAUGAUGUUCUUAUAACAGAAAUAAAACAGCCUAAAUGAGUAGCUAAUGUAGUAUGUAUGCCUUUUCCAUGAAUGUCUUCCAUACAUACACAUGCCAAUGUUCAGGCCCCUUAAAGUGUCAACCAUGAACUGAAAUGCGUUCUUUUUUUAAAGCUAAUCCACCAAAAACCUAAACUAAGAAUACUUUUGGUGUUCAGCAGCUGUUAGGCUGAAAUCCUAACUUGGAGAUCUGUGAGCCUAACUUGACGCGUACAGAUCUUUAAAGUUAGGAUUCGGCCCUUACAUGCUAGAUUUAGUUCAAACCAAAGGAGCAGAAGACAACAUCAUUUUUGUGUGCUGUUUCACUGACGCUGAUGUUUGUGCUGUUUUUUCCCCCCCACAAUGAUGUUUCCUGUGGUGGCUGAGAGCGAGACAGUCCAGCACCUCCAGCCUGGGCUCCACUUUCAGAGAGACAAGACCUCCACAAGGCCACUUAUCAAGGUGCAGCCCUUUUUAGAGAAGAGUCUCGCAAGGAACCACCUCUGGACAAAGGUUUCUGUUUUUAGAGAGAGUUACUGUAUUUGUGAAGGCGGACUCAUCACUAUGACAUCAUCAUACAAAGCGGGGCAAAUUCCUGCAUACAGAAAUCAACAACAGUAUUGAAAUCUUCUGAGACUGACACUUGUGGCUUUUCCCCCAUGUGGGCAAGGCUCAAGGGAGGGUGCAAAUUAGGAAGAGGCAAAUGUGGCAGUCUUGGCAGAUUUUUUAUUUAUUCCGUCGUUGAUGUCUGUAAGCAGGAAGACGGGGCAUGUAUGAUGUCAUUUUGCAAAGUCAAUCUUGAGUAGACAUGAUGUCAUGACCUGAUUUGCUGAUUUUCAAAUAUGUUAUCAGCAUCUACUUCAGUUAUCAAAUGUUAUCAUAAUGAGUCAGUAUUAGACACAUUGUUACCAUAAUGAAUCAGUAUUAGACACAUUGUUACCAUAAUGAAUCAGUAUUAGACACAUUGUUACCAUAAUGAAUCAGUAUUAGACACAUUGUUACCAUAAUGAAUCAGUAUUAGACACAUUGUUACCAUAAUGAAUCAGUAUUAGACACAUUGUUACCAUAAUGAAUCAGUAUUGGACACAUUGUUACCAUAAUGAAUCAGUAUUAGACACAUUGUUACCAUAAUGAAUCAGUAUUAGACACAUUGGGUGAGAUUUUGGACCCAUUAUAGACUUUUGAGAUUUGUUCAUGAACUCAAUGUUUUGCUUAAGGAUUCUGAGAAAGUAUAAGGCAAUCAUGAUAAAUUGUAUUAGUUUGAUUGAACUUGAGUUUUAAUGUGGCUGUCUAUGCCAAAGUGACCAACAAUAAGGUAAUACUUUUUCUUGUUAUUGAGAAAUAUGGCCAGAUUCAUGUUAUCACUGGUAACAUUGCAAUUUUGUGUUUGUUUUUCAGGGUAAGUCGGAACUUCUCUUCCCUGCCUUGGUUCCCUCAGUCUCCUCUUUCUGCUUUGGUGCCCAUGUAAAACUCGAAACCAGGGAGAUGUUCAACGAUGAGCCCUGUGGAUAUUUCUCAGAAAAUGUUCAAACAGAAAUGUAUUUUUUUUAAAUGUUAUGUAACACGUUUGACUACAUCCUUCACUUUAUUCAUGUCAUCCAACCCAAAUGACUGCACACCACUGUUUCCUUAUGAUAUAACAUCAAUAUGCAUAUUCUGUCCUCUAUUGAGAACGUAACAACUUGUGUUCAUUGUCAUUUGUGUAUUACUAUAGUAAACAUAGGCACGGACUA